GGUCAUCCAAGUGUACUAUUUGUUUCUUCCCUGUGGAAUUGACAUAUCAGCUUUGGGAAGGAUGACGGAAAAAGGAAAAAAAAAAAAAAGAAAGAAAUGGGCCCAGAGAACCCAAUGGAAACAAUGCUAAGCUUACUGUUCACGUGGGCCUUUAAGGGGGAGUGAAAGGCAAAAGCUGAGAACUGGGUCCAGUUUUCCCCAGCAGUGCUGUCUGUGCAGUGGUUGGAUGUCACUCAAACUAAAACCCAAAGGCUUUUCAACCAGCAAUGAUGCCCCAUUCUUCUUACUUCCAGACACCACCCUCCUGUUCCUUUGGCAGAUAUCUGAGCUUGAAAGAUGUGACGAUGUAGACCUGAGACUCUGACCAGAUGACUUGACACUAUUAGUCUGAUUCUUUUCCUAAUCUGAGGAAAUGGCUGAUAGAAGAGGUUCCAGAGUUUUUCCAAGGCAAAGACCCAGAAGGCAAAACAUCAUUCAUGAGCUCUGGCAGCUACCAAGGAAGAACUGGUGGAGAGUGAGUGCCAGGGUCUAGGUCCUCCCUGGAAGGAAGAUCACAACUCAAGAAAUGAUAUUCUCCAAAUUCAGGCAUUAUGGAACUCUGUAGAAUGAUGUCUGGGUCUGCUGUAUACUGGAAAAAAACAGUCUAAAAAAGUGCUUGUGACUUUAUCUAAGAUAAUUUUUUUUAACUGACAAAAUGAGGUCGAUUCCUUCCCUAUUGCUACCCAACUGAUAAAAAGGAAACCCACAGUAAAUUUUACAGUUGAAAGAGGUCUCUUAUGCAUCAAACCAAGCUUAACAACAGCAUUACAAAAUUACCACAUUCACUUAUGUUUUCCAGUUGAUAUUUUUACAUAAGGGUAGAAGAAGUAGCCAACACUUAUGUAAGAAUUUUUGAUUUAUUUACUCUUGUCUACCUUUCCUAUCUUCAAGAAUCUCAUCCUACCUCUCACUUUAAGCUAAAAACAGAUUUUUACUUUAAGAUUUUUGGAGGGUAAAUUGGUUUAGCUAGAAGAAUUUAAAAAAUAUGCAUGUUAUCUGAACCUAUAAUUAUGCUUCUGGAAUUCACCGUAGAGACAUACUUGGACAAAUGUUCCAAAAAAUAAAUGCAAGGAUUUUACUGCAACAAUAUUUAUAAUAGGACUAAAAUGAAAUGAACAAGUAAAUCCUAAAUAUCUAUCAACAGGAAAUUAAACUAUUUAAUAAAUGCAAGGAUUUCUUUUCCUCAGUUUAAAAAUGAGUUAGCACAUAGUGUAAACCCAUUUCUGUACAAAAAAUUUACUGAAGAGCAAUGUGUGCAUAUGUAUUUAUAUAUUUUAAACAUAAAUGUAUGCAUGCACUCUUGAAUUUAUAAAAAAGAAGAUAUGAAAGUAUAUUCAGGGAGUCUUUAGGGUUUUGUAUGGGAGUACUGGAAAGAUUACAUUUCUGUAACAUCUGGCAUUUUUACAACCAGAUUUUUAAAUUUUUUAAAAUGAAGCUAACUGGCAUCUAGAUCUUCUAUCUUGGUCCUUUCCUUAGCAAUUUUAAGUUUCUGAAAGUGACAUAUGGAGUGAGAGGUCACAGAGACAAUGUGGCUCCCCACGUGCAAGCAAUUUAAAAAAAGACACACUGGGGAAGAUUUGCUAGUGCCGAUUAACACUAUUUUAUACUUGUUAGUUGGCGCUCAAGCAUCCCUAAUUCAGGGGAAGAAGGCCAGGUGGCUGCAUCAACCUCAGCUCUGCUGGUUUUACAUGUAAGAACCCCAACUUCUAUCUAUAGUCCCCACCCAAACUAGAAAAGAAGACAACAUAGGAGACAGAAGAAUGCAAAAAUCAAUGCAUCUGGGAAAAGGGCACUGAGUUGUUUUCUUCUUCCUUCCCAAUAAACAUCAAAUUGUCUGUU